GAUGAAGAACGCAGCGAAAUGCGAUAAGUAAUGCGAAUUGCAGAAUUCAGAGAAUCAUCGAAUCUUUGAACGCACAUUGCGCCUGCCAGUAUUCUGGCGGGCAUGCCUGUCCGAGCGUCAUUUCAACCCUCGAGCCCCUCCGGGGGGUCGGCGUUGGGGAUCGGCCCUCCCUCGCGGGGGCCGCCCCCGAAAUGCAGUGGCGGUCCCGCCGCAGCCUCUCCUGCGCAGUAGUUUGCACAACUCGCACCGGGAGCGCGGCGGGCCCACGCCGUAAAACGACACAACCUUCUGGAAAUGUUGACCUCGGAUCAGGUAGGAAUACCCGCUGAACUUAAGCAUAUCAAUAAGCGGAGGA
rnacentral:misc_RNA from 1 species